rnacentral:lncRNA from 1 species
UUUGAUUGAAUAAAACAAUAAUUAGAAAAAAAAAAUUGAAAGGGGAGGUCCGAGAAAGACUAAAGUUUAAUGGUUAAGGUUGAUGGAGAGAGAAAGGUGAGUUCCGCUUUGUUAGGAUUGAUAGUGGAAAAAAAGGAAAGGGUCGGUCACCGGCCAUGAUUCAUGCAUCGCCAAUUUGCACAUAAAAAGUUGAGGUGGGGCUUGAUGUUAGGCCCUUCUUUUCUCCGUCGGCUUACGCC